rnacentral:rRNA from 1 species
AAGACCUUGCACUUUGGAGCGGCCGAUGUCUGAUUAGCUAGUUGGUGGGGUAAUGGCCUACCAAAGCUUCGAUCAGUAGCUGGUCUGAGAGGACGGCCAGCCACACUGGGACUGAGACACGGCCCAGACUCCUACGGGAGGCAGCAGUGGGGAAUUUUGGACAAUGGGCGCAAGCCUGAUCCAGCCAUGCCGCGUGAGUGAAGAAGGCCUUCGGGUUGUAAAGCUCUUUCAGCCGGGAAGAAAAGGUUGCGACUAAUAAUCGCAAUCCAUGACGGUACCGAAAGAAGAAGCACCGGCUAACUACGUGCCAGCAGCCGCGGUAAUACGUAGGGUGCGAGCGUUAAUCGGAAUUACUGGGCGUAAAGGGUGCGCAGGCGGUUUUGUAAGUCAGAUGUGAAAUCCCCGGGCUUAACCUGGGAACU